UACGAAGGGGGCUAGCGUUGCUCGGAAUUACUGGGCGUAAAGCGCACGUAGGCGGAUUGUUAAGUCGGGGGUGAAAUCCUGGAGCUCAACUCCAGAACUGCCUUCGAUACUGGCGAUCUCGAGUUCGGGAGAGGUGAGUGGAACUGCGAGUGUAGAGGUGAAAUUCGUAGAUAUUCGCAAGAACACCAGUGGCGAAGACGGCUCACUGGCCGAUACUGACGCUGACGGUGCGAAAGCGUGGGGAGCAAACGG
rnacentral:rRNA from 1 species